rnacentral:rRNA from 1 species
UACGGAGGGGGCUAGCGUUGUUCGGAAUUACUGGGCGUAAAGCGCACGUAGGCGGCUUUGUAAGUUAGAGGUGAAAGCCCAGGGCUUAACCCUGGAAUUGCCUUUAAGACUGCAUCGCUAGAAUUGUGGAGAGGUAAGUGGAAUUCCGUAGUGUAGAGGUAGAAAUUCGUAGAUAUUCGGAAGAACACCAGUGGCGAAGGCGACUUACUGGACACAUAUUGACGCUGAGGUGCGAAAGCGUGGGGAGCAAACAGG